CCCGAGACUAGAGUCACAUCCUGACAGCUCUUGUCCUGGUGUGCUACAGUUCUCGGAGAGAAUUUGCUGGUCUUGAUUCACUGGCGAGGGCAUUCAGUGCCCCCGGUAGUGCCCAGAUCAGAAACAUGC
rnacentral:snoRNA from 1 species